rnacentral:rRNA from 1 species
AACGAACGCUGGCGGCAUGCCUAACACAUGCAAGUCGAACGAGAUCUUCGGGUCUAGUGGCGCACGGGUGCGUAACGCGUGGGAAUCUGCCCUUUGGUUCGGAAUAACAGUUGGAAGCGGCUGCUAAUACCGGAUGAUGACGAAAGUCCAAAGAUUUAUCGCCAGAGGAUGAGCCCGCGUAGGAUUAGCUAGUUGGUGUGGUAAAGGCGCACCAAGGCGACGAUCGUUAGCUGGUCUGAGAGGAUGAUCAGCCACACAGGGACUGAGACACGACCGAGACUUCUGCGGGAGACACCAGGGGGGAAUGUUGGACAAUGGCAGAAAGCUUGAUCCAGCAACGCCUCGUGAGUGAUGAAGGCCUUAGGGUUGUAAAGGUCUUUUACCCGGGAUGAUAAUGACGGUACCGGGAGAAUAAGCUGCGGCUAACUCCGUGCCAGCCGCCGCCGUAAGAC